GCCUCUCUAGCUCAGCGGAUAGAGCGUCGCACUACGGAUGCGAAGGUCGGGGGUUCGAAUCCCUCGAGAGGCACCA
rnacentral:tRNA from 1 species